CGGACGGGUGAGUAACACGUGGGUAACCUGCCUAAAAGAAGGGGAUAACACUUGGAAACAGGUGCUAAUACCGUAUAUCUCUAAGGAUCGCAUGAUCCUUAGAUGAAAGAUGGUUCUGCUAUCGCUUUCAGAUGGACCCGCGGCGUAUUAACUAGUUGGUGGGGUAACGGCCUACCAAGGUGAUGAUACGUAGCCGAACUGAGAGGUUGAUCGGCCACAUUGGGACUGAGACACGGCCCAA
rnacentral:rRNA from 1 species